GACGAACGCUGGCGGCGUGCUUAACACAUGCAAGUCGAACGGAAAGGCCCUGCUUUUGUGGGGUGCUCGAGUGGCGAACGGGUGAGUAACACGUGAGUAACCUGCCCUUGACUUUGUGAUAACUUCAGGAAACUGGGGCUAAUACCGGAUAGGAGCUCCUGCUGCAUGGUGGGGGUUGGAAAGUUUCGGCGGUUGGGGAUGGACUCGCGGCUUAUCAGCUUGUUUGUGGGGUAGUGGCUUACCAAGGCUUUGACGGGUAGCCGGCCUGAGAGGGUGACCGGCCACAUUGGGACUGCGAUACGGACCAGAAUCCUACGGGCGGCAGCAGUGGGGAAUCUUGCACAAUGGGCGGACGCCUGAUGCAGCAACGCCGCGUGCGGGAUGCCGGCCUUCGGGUUGUAAACCGCUUUCGCCUGUGACGAAGCGUGCGUGACGGUAAUGGGUAAAGAAGCACCGGCUAACUACGUG
rnacentral:rRNA from 1 species